CGCCUACGGGAGGCUGCAGUGGGGAAUAUUGCACAAUGGAGGAAACUCUGAUGCAGCGACGCCGCGUGAGGGAAGAAGGUCUUCGGAUUGUAAACCUCUGUCUUUGGGGAAGAUAAUGACGGUACCCAAGGAGGAAGCCACGGCUAACUACGUGCCAGCAGCCGCGGUAAUACGUAGGUGGCAAGCGUUGUCCGGAAUUACUGGGUGUAAAGGGAGCGUAGGCGGGUGUUUAAGUUGAAUGUUUAAACUAUCGGCUCAACCGGUAGUCGCGUUCAAAACUGAGCAUCUUGAGUGAAGUAGAGGCAGGCGGAAUUCCUAGUGUAGCGGUGAAAUGCGUAGAUAUUAGGAGGAACACCAGUGGCGAAGGCGGCCUGCUGGGCUUUUACUGACGCUGAGGCUCGAAAGCAUGGGGAGCAAACAGGAUUAGAUACCCCUGUAGUCGCA
rnacentral:rRNA from 1 species